rnacentral:rRNA from 1 species
UCAUUAUUGUAAAACUGAGGUGCGAGGGCUGUCGCUGGCCUUUCAAAAAGGUUGUGCACGCCCGAGUGCUUUCACGUCCAUCUCACCCCUUUGUGCAUCAUCGCGUGGGCCCUCCUUUUGGCUUGUUUCAAGGGAGUGGCUUGCGUUUUCACACAAACAACCCUUUAAUGCAGUGUAGUAGAAUGUAUGCGUUGACUCGCAAUCAAUACAACUUUCAACAACGGAUCUCUUGGCUCUCGCAUCGAUGAAGAACGCAGCGAAAUGCGAUACGUAAUGUGAAUUGCAGAAUUCAGUGAAUCAUCGAAUCUUUGAACGCACCUUGCGCCCCUUGGCAUUCCGAGGGGCACACCCGUUUGAGUGUCGUGAUGUCCUCAAAAGCCUUUCUUCGAUCUCUUGAUCGGGGAGAGUCUUUUGGAUUUUGGAGGUCUUUGCUGGCUUUCACUUGAAUGUCAGCUCCUCUUAAACGAAUUAGUGGGGUCCGCUUUGCAGGUCCUUGACGCGAUAAGAUGUUUCUGUGUCUUGGGUAUUGCUUUGCUUCUUGAGAUCCUGCUUCUAAAACAUGUUCGAGUUCUCUCCCUUCACGGGGAAGGAACUACGAACCACGAUGAACCCUUGACCUCAAAUCGGGUGAGACUACCCGCUGAACUUAAGCAUAUCAAUAAGCGGAGGAAAAGAAACUAACAAGGAUUCCCCUAGUAACUGCGAGUGAAGCGGGAAAAGCUCAAAUUUAAAAUCUGGUGGCCUUUGGCCAUCCGAGUUGUAAUCUAGAGAAGCGUCUUCCGCGCUGGACCG